GACGAACGCUGGCGGCGUGCCUAAUACAUGCAAGUCGAGCGAAUCGAUGGGAGCUUGCUCCCUGAGAUUAGCGGCGGACGGGUGAGUAACACGUGGGUAACCUGCCUGUAAGACUGGGAUAACUUCGGGAAACCGGAGCUAAUACCGGAUACUUUCUUUUCUCGCAUGAGAGAAGAUGGAAAGAUGGCAUCUCGCUAUCACUUACAGAUGGACCCGCGGCGCAUUAGCUAGUUGGUGAGGUAACGGCUCACAAAGGCGACGAUGCGUAGCCGACCUGAGAGGGUGAUCGGCCACACUGGGACUGAGACACGGCCCAGACUCCUACGGGAGGCAGCAGUAGGGAAUCUUCCGCAAUGGACGAAAGUCUGACGGAGCAACGCCGCGUGAGCGAAGAAGGCCUUCGGGUCGUAAAGCUCUGUUGUUAGGGAAGAACAAGUACGAGAGUAACUGCUCGUACCUUGACGGUACCUAACCAGAAAGCCACGGCUAACUACGUGCCAGCAGCCGCGGUAA
rnacentral:rRNA from 1 species